AUUGAACGCUGGCGGCAGGCCUAACACAUGCAAGUCGAGGGGUAACAAGAGGAAAGCUUGUUUUCUUUGUUGACGACCGGCGCACGGGUGAGUAACGCGUAUCCAACCUGCCUAUAACUAGGGAAUAACCUUGCGAAAGUAAGACUAAUACCCUAUGAUUUCCUUUGAUGACAUCAGAUUAGGAAUAAAGAUUUAUCGGUUAUAGAUGGGGAUGCGUCUGAUUAGCUCGUUGGCGGGGUAACGGCCCACCAAGGCAACGAUCAGUAGGGGUUCUGAGAGGAAGGUCCCCCACAUUGGAACUGAGACACGGUCCAAACUCCUACGGGAGGCAGCAGUGAGGAAUAUUGGUCAACGGGCGGAAGCCUGAACCAGCCAAGUAGCGUGCAGGAUGACGGCCCUAUGGGUUGUAAACUGCUUUUAUACAGGAAUAAAGUUAGCCACGUGUGGUUAUUUGUAGGUACUGUAUGAAUAAGGACCGGCUAAUUCCGUGCCAGCCGCCGCAGUAA
rnacentral:rRNA from 1 species